AAGGAUCAUUAUUGACUGUGAAUCGUUGCCUCCAGUGCUGGCUCCGGCAAGUGCACGUUGGUGACUUUCAUCCAACACCCUGUGAACCUUUGGCCUCUUGCUAGCUUCGGCUGGCAGAGGAUUUUUACACCCACUCGAAUGUAAUGAAAUUAUUGUCGUGCGCAAGCACUUAUGUACAACUUUCAACAACGGAUCUCUUGGCUCUC
rnacentral:misc_RNA from 1 species